rnacentral:rRNA from 1 species
UUAGUCUCAGUUCAGAUUGCAGGCUGAAACUCGCCUGCAUGAAGUCGGAAUUGCUAGUAAUCGCAGAUCAGCAUGCUGCGGUGAAUACGUUCCCGGGCCUUGUACACACCGCCCGUCACACCAUGGGAGUCGGUAACACCCGAAGCCUGUAGUCUAACCGCAAGGAGGACGCCGCCGAAGGUGGGGUUGAUGAUUAGGGUUAAGUCGUAACAAGGUAUC